CGCAGGCACUUUGUUGACUCUAUAGAACCUCGGGCCAAUUGCACGUCCCCGUAACGGCGACUUUGCAUUCAUAUGUCAUCCAUACCAACUUUCGAUGCCAGUUUCUGUGCCUACUAUGGUGACCACGGGUAACAGGGAAUCAGGGUUGGAUUACGGAGAGAGAAUCUGAGAAACGGCUACCACAUGCAAGGAAGGCAGCAGGCGCGCAAAUGACCCACUCCCGACGCGGGAAGGUAGUGACG